rnacentral:rRNA from 1 species
GACGAACGCUGGCGGCGCGCCUAACACAUGCAAGUCGAACGAGCGAGAGAGAGAUUGCUUUCUCGUGCGAGUGGCGCACGGGUGAGUAACGCGUGAGGAACCUGCCUCAUAGAGGGGGACAACAGUUGGAAACGACAGCUCAAACCGCAUAUGAACACGGCUCGGCAUCGAGCAGGGGUAAAAGGAGCCAAUCGCUUUGAGAUGGCCUCACGUCCGAUUAUAUAAUUGGUUGGGUAACGGCCCAGCUAGGCGACGCUCGGUAGCCGGACCGAGAGGUUGAACGGCCACAUUGGGACUGAGACACGUCCCGGACUCCCACGGAAGGCAGCAGGUGGGAAUGAUGCACAAUGGGUGAGAGCCGGAUGCUGCGAGGCCGCGUGGAGGAGUAGGGUCAGCGGAUUGUAAGCGCCUGUUGAUGGGGAAGAUAAUGACGGUACCCAACAAGAAAGUGACGGCUAACUACGUG